GAUGAACGCUGGCGGCGUGCCUAACACAUGCAAGUCGAACGGAAAGGCCCUGCUUGCAGGGUACUCGAGUGGCGAACGGGCGAGUAACACGUGGGUGAUCUGCCCUCCACUUCGGGAUAAGCCUGGGAAACUGGGUCUAAUACCGGAUAGGAGAUAUUUUUAGCGUGAUGGUUCGAAAGUUUUUUGGGUGUUGGAUGAGCUCGCGGCCUAUCAGCUUGUUGGGGGGGUAAUGGCCUACCAAGGCGGCGAGGCGUAGCCGCCCAGUGGGGGUGGACGGCGACCUAGAGACCGAGGUAAGGCACAGGCUGCGACGAGUGGCAAAUGGGGGGAAGAUUGAACAAUCGACGCCGGCCUGGUGAAGAAGGGCCGCGGGUGGGAUAACGGCCUUCGGGUUGUAGAAUACUUGCGCUAGGAACGAAGCUUGUUGUGACGGUACCUAAAUAAGAAGCACCGGCUAACUACGUG
rnacentral:rRNA from 1 species